rnacentral:rRNA from 1 species
UGCCUUAAGAGUUUGUUUUGAGGUUUACUCUGCCCAGUGACUUUUAGUUCAACGGCCGCAGUACCCUGACUGUGCUAAGGUAGCAUAAUCAAUUGGCUCUUAAUUAGGGUCUAGUAUGAAAGAGAUAAAGAGUGCGAUACUGUCUUAAGUACGUUAAUUUAAAGUUAUUUAAAGGGUGAAAAUCCCCUUAAUGGAAAUAGGACGAGAAGACCCUAAGAAUUUUGAACAAUUUAAAUUACUAUUUAAGAUUUUUUGUUGGGGUGACAGGAUUAACUUAAACUAAUCUUUUUUUACAAGUCUUAGAAUUAGCAAGACGAAAUUACCUUAGGGAUAACAGCAUAAUUCUUUUUUGAGAUUAUGACCUCGAUGUUGGACUAGGGACUAGAUGGUUAGCAACUAGUAUAGCAAGUUCUGUUCGAACUUAUUACCCU